rnacentral:rRNA from 1 species
GACGAACGCUGGCGGCGUGCUUAACACAUGCAAGUCGAGCGGUAAGGCCCUUUUGGGGGUACACGAGCGGCGAACGGGUGAGUAACACGUGGGUGACCUGCCCUCAGCUCUGGGAUAAGCCUGGGAAACUGGGUCUAAUACCGGAUAUGCACUGCUUAUCGCAUGGUGGGUGGUGGAAAGUCCUGUUCUGUAAUGGAUUGGGGCGGCUGGGGAUGGGGCCCGCGGCCUAUCAGCUUGUUGGUGGGGUGAUGGCCUACCAAGGCGACGACGGGUAGCCGGCCUGAGAGGGCGACCGGCCACACUGGGACUGAGACACGGGCCCAGACUCCUAC